rnacentral:rRNA from 1 species
CUACGGGUGGCACCAGUGGGGAAUAUUGCACAAUGGGCGAAAGCCUGAUGCAGCAACGCCGCGUGAGGGACGACAGCCUUCGGGUUGUAAACCUCUUUUAGCAGGGAAGAAGCGAAAGUGACGGUACCUGCAGAAAAAGCACCGGCUAACUACGUGCCAGCAGCCGCGGUAAUACGUAGGGCGCAAGCGUUGUCCGGAAUUAUUGGGCGUAAAGAGCUCGUAGGCGGUUUGUCGCGUCUGCUGUGAAAAUCCGAGGCUCAACCUCGGACCUGCAGUGGGUACGGGCAAACUAGAGUGCGGUAGGGGGGAUUGGAAUUCCUGGUGUAGCGGUGGAAUGCGCAGAUAUCAGGAGGAACACCAAUGGCGAAGGCAGAUCUCUGGGCCGUAACUGACGCUGAGGAGCGAAAGCGUGGGGAGCGAACAGGAUUAGAUACCCCCGUAGUC